GGAGAACAGACUCACUGUGAAUCGGUGUGUGGGCCAGCCAGUGCCCCUCCUGACAAUGUUAAGCAACGGGUGGUAGAAGUGCUGGGGAGGACUUUAUAAGUCAGGAGUGCUGCUGUAAUGGUUGGCAGAGGUUCUCACAGGGCAGCAGCGUUGAGGAACAGUGCAGACCGUCACUCUUCACCAAUCUACGGCGGUAAAUUUUCCUUAAUGUUCGGACUUCACACUCUCCAUUCCUGCUAAAGAAAGAACAGAACUCACCUGCCUGCGCUCCCGUCCUCUGCCACUGAUCACCACACCUCUCAUCUGCAAACCUGCAAACUCUCACUUUCCCUCCCCUCCGUUGCUGCUCUCAUCCGCAAACCAAACUGUGAUGUUGAAAUCAGUCAUUCAGAGUGACUCCUCCAAAGACCCAGCGUGAGACAAAGAGGCCAAGCUGCCAGAGAACUGAUGCAGAAGACCGGGAAGCUUUUAAACUCCAACCAAACCACUUUCACGAUGUGUUCAGGGGAGCGAGGGGAAUUCUCCAAAACACUAAUUUGUCCACAGUGACAUGAAAGUCCUGUUUAAGGUUUUCCGUCAUUUUCUGUUUAUCCCAUCAAACUGUACGUGGGCUGAUUUUAACAGACUGUUAAAAUGACCAA